UACGUAGGGUGCAAGCGUUAAUCGGAAUUACUGGGCGUAAAGCGUGCGCAGGCGGGUGAUGUAAGACAGAUGUGAAAUCCCCGGGCUCAACCUGGGAACUGCAUUUGUGACUGCAUCGCUGGAGUACGGCAGAGGGGGAUGGAAUUCCGCGUGUAGCAGUGAAAUGCGUAGAUAUGCGGAGGAACACCGAUGGCGAAGGGCAAUCCCCCUGGGCCUGUACUGACGCUCAUGCACGAAAAGCGUGGGGAGCAAACGG
rnacentral:rRNA from 1 species